GACGAACGCUGGCGGCGUGCUUAACACAUGCAAGUCGUACGGUAAGGCCCUUUCGGGGGUACACCAGUGGCGAACGGGUGAGUAACACGUGAGUAACCUGCCCACAACUUUGGGAUAACGCUAGGAAACUGGUGCUAAUACUGGAUAUGUGCCCCUGCUGCAUGGUGGGGGUUGGAAAGCUCCGGCGGUUGUGGAUGGACUCGCGGCCUAUCAGCUUGUUGGUGGGGUAGUGGCCUACCAAGGCGGCGACGGGUAGCCGGCCUGAGAGGGUGACCGGCCACAUUGGGACUGAGAUACGGCCCAGACUCCUACGGGAGGCAGCAGUGGGGAAUAUUGCACAAUGGGCGCAAGCCUGAUGCAGCAACGCCGCGUGCGGGAUGACGGCCUUCGGGUUGUAAACCGCUUUCAGCAGGGACGAAGCCUUUUGUGACGGUACCUGCAGAAGAAGCACCGGCUAACUACGUG
rnacentral:rRNA from 1 species